rnacentral:rRNA from 1 species
AACGAACGCUGGCGGCAUGCCUAACACAUGCAAGUCGAACGAGACCUUCGGGUCUAGUGGCGCACGGGUGCGUAACGCGUGGGAACCUGCCUUUAGGUUCGGAAUAACUCAGAGAAAUUUGAGCUAAUACCGGAUAAUGUCUUCGGACCAAAGAUUUAUCGCCUUUAGAUGGGCCCGCGUUGGAUUAGCUAGUUGGUGGGGUAAAGGCCUACCAAGGCGACGAUCAUAGCUGGUCUGAGAGGAUGAUCAGCCACACUGGGACUGAGACACGGCCCAGACUCCUACGGGAGGCAGCAGUGGGGAAUAUUGGACAAUGGGCGAAAGCCUGAUCCAGCAAUGCCGCGUGAGUGAUGAAGGCC